rnacentral:rRNA from 1 species
AUUGAACGCUGGCGGCAGGCCUAACACAUGCAAGUCGAACGGUAACAGGAAGACGCUUGCUUCUUUGCUGACGAGUGGCGGACGGGUGAGUAAUGUCUGGGAAACUGCCUGAUGGAGGGGGAUAACUACUGGAAACGGUAGCUAAUACCGCAUAACGUCGCAAGACCAAAAAGGGGGACCUUCGGGCCUCUUGCCAUCGGAUGUGCCCAGAUGGGAUUAGCUAGUAGGUGGGGUAACGGCUCACCUAGGCGACGAUCCCUAGCUGGUCUGAGAGGAUGACCAGCCACACUGGAACUGAGACACGGUCCAGACUCCUACGGGAGGCAGCAGUGGGGAAUAUUGCACAAUGGGCGCAAGCCUGAUGCAGCCACGCCGCGUGUAUGAAGAGGGCCUUCGGGUUGUAAAGUACUUUCAGCGGGGAGGAAGGGAGUAAAGUUAAUACCUUUGCUCAUUGACGUUACCCGCAGAAGAAGCACCGGCUAACUCCGUG